UACCUCGCUGUUCGGAAAACA
rnacentral:piRNA from 1 species